GACGAACGCUGGCGCGUGCCUAAUACAUGCAAGUCGAACGCUUCUUUCCUCCCGAGUGCUUGCACCAAUUGGAAAGAGGUCGAGUGGCGGACGGGUGAGUAACACGUGGGUAACCUACCAUCAGAGGGGGAUAGACACUUGGAAACAGGUGCUAAUACCGCAUAACAGUUAUGCCGCAUGGCAUAAUGAGUGAAAGGCGCUUUCGGGUGUCGCUGAUGGAUGACCCGCGGUGCAUUAGCAUAGUUGGUGAGGUAACGGCUCACCAAGGCCACGUGCAUAGCCGACCUGAGAGGGGUGAUCGGCCACACUGGGACUGAGACACGGCCAGACUCCUACGGGAGGCAGCCAGUAGGGAAUCUUCGGCAAUGGACGAAAGUCUGACCGAGCAACGCCGCGUGAUGUGAAGAAGGUUUUCGGAUCGUAAAACUCUUUGUUAGAGAAGAACAAGGACGUUUAGUAACUGAACGUCCCCUGACGGUAUCUAACCAGAAAGCCACGGCUAACUAGCGUGCCAGCAGCCGCGGUAAUACGUAGGGGCAAGCGUUGUCCGGAUUUAUUGCGGCGUAAAGCGAGCGCAGGCGGUUUCUUAAGUCUGAUGUGAAAGCCCCCGGCUACAACCGGGGAGGGUCAUUGGAAACUGGAGACUUGAGUGCAGAAGAGGAGAGUUGGAAUUCCAUGUGUAGCGGUGAAAUCGUAGA
rnacentral:rRNA from 1 species